rnacentral:tRNA from 1 species
UAAAUCCUUCUCUUUUA